GUUGUUAACCAACCACCAAGUAAAAUUUUGAGAAGACAACCAAAAUGGCUUCACUGACGGUUACAUACUGCAAUGGUUGGUCACCACUACUUACCUCUUCAAUCUCCAAGAGAAGUGCAACAUUCCCAAAUGCUAAAAAUACCAUCAAAUUAUACUCUUUUUCACUUCCAUUGCAACCACUAGUUACUUCUUUUAACUCGCUAAGGAACCCAAGAGCUGCUACAACCAUAUCUUCAUCUAUGGCUACUGGAAGCGUGAAAGAGAUCCUUCCGCCAGCUGUAACUUCUACUUCAGACCCACCUCCAAUCUUUGAUGGAACAACAAGGUUGUACAUAUCUUACACGUGCCCAUAUGCACAGCGUGUGUGGAUUACUCGCAACUGUAAGGGAUUGCAGGACAAGAUAAAAUUGGUUCCUAUUGAUUUGCAAGACAGGCCUGCCUGGUACAAGGAGAAAGUUUAUCCUCCUAAUAAGGUACCUUCAUUGGAACACGAUAAUGAAGUCAAAGGAGAGUCUCUUGAUUUGAUUAAAUAUAUUGACCGCAACUUUGAUGGGCCAUCGCUUUUCCCUGAUGAUCCUGCAAAGAGAGAGUUAGCAGAAGAGUUGUUUGCCUACACUGGCUCAUUCUACAAAGCUCUAGUUUCCUUUUUCAAAGAAGAUGGAAAUGAAGCUGGUGCUGCACUUGAUUUCAUUGAAACAUCUUUUUCAAAAUUUGACGACGGACCAUUUUUCCUUGGCCAGUUCAGUCUGUCAGAAUUUAUGCUCCAUGUGCUAUAUAGGUGGAUAUCGCUUAUGCUCCAUUCAUUGAAAGAUUUCAUCCUGCCUUGUUGGAACUAAGGAAAUAUGAUAUCACUAUAGGAAGACCUAAUCUGGCUGCUUGGAUUGAGGAGAUGAACAAGAAUGAGGCUUACAACCAGACCCGGCGAGAUCCAAAGGAGCAUGUUGAAUCCUACAGGAAACGUUUUUUGGCUAAACUCUGAAGUCUGAACUGUGAAUUCUGUUGUUUUGUCUCUCCAGCCAUGAAAUCUGACAACUAAAGACAAUUUUUCAUAUAAUAGCUCUAAUUGGUUCUAUUCUGAAAGACUUGUGUUGAAGUCUUAAGUCACCGAAGUGUGAAGUAAAAUAACUGGUGUAGUUAGGCACUAAAUCAGCAACUCUAUGUCAUCAAUACGGUUGGCUGGUUAUAGACACAUUUCUAUCAUGACAAAAAUGCACCACAUAGAACAACCACACUAAACAUCCUGUUCUUAUUUUCCUUGAGCAGCAGCUUCUUACAGCAGAUUUGUCUUGCCAACUGGCCACUUCAAACCACCUAGUUAGGCCUGGCCAUUGUUCCAAACCGAACAGGAAAUGGGACCACCCACUGGUUCUUUUAGAUGGUUUUCUAACCGGUUCCAGCCAAUUUUGAAGGUGAUUCUUCUUUGGUUUCGGACCGGGUUCUAAAAACCAAACCCCUGAUUCGAACCUGGGGUGUGGUCCUGUUUCCGGUUUCCUGGGGAACUGGAACUUCCUGUUUCUGGUGUUCCAUCCAAUCCAGUUCAGUUACUGGUUCAGAACCCGACCUUGGUUAGGCUUACCACCCUUUCCUUAAUGUCAUCUUAGAUUGUUUCAUCGCACAUUUUUGGCUUCCUUUAAACAAGUCAGGAGCAGAAAAUCAGAGUA